UACGGAGGGGGCUAGCGUUGUUCGGAAUUACUGGGCGUAAAGCGUACGUAGGCGGCUUUGUAAGUUAGAGGUGAAAGCCCGGGGCUCAACUCCGGAAUUGCCUUUAAGACUGCAUCGCUUGAAUCAUGGAGAGGUUAGUGGAAUUCCGAGUGUAGAGGUGAAAUUCGUAGAUAUGUGGAGGAACACCGAUGGCGAAGGCAGCCCCCUGGGUUAACACUGACGCUCAUGCACGAAAGCGUGGGGAGCAAACAGG
rnacentral:rRNA from 1 species